rnacentral:rRNA from 1 species
GAUGAAUGCUGGCGGCGUGCCUAACACAUGCAAGUCGAGCGGCAGCGAGGGGUGCUUGCACCCUGUCGGCGAGCGGCGAACGGCUGAGUAACGCGUAGGAAUUUGCCCCAAAGUGAGGAAUAACUGCCCGAAAGGGUAGCUAAUGCCGCAUAUGGCCUUCGGAUUAAAGGAUUUAUCCGCUUUGGGAGAAGCCUGCGUUGGAUUAGGUUGUUGGUAGGGUAAUGGCCUACCAAGCCGACGAUCCAUAGCUGGUCUGAGAGGAUGAUCAGCCAGACUGGAACUGAGACACGGUCCAGACUCCUACGGGAGGCAGCAGUGAGGAAUCUUCCACAAUGGGCGAAAGCCUGAUGGAGCAACGCCGCGUGAAGGAUGAAGGCCUUCGGGUUGUAAACUUCUUUUAUGAGUGAAGAAUAUGACGGUAACUCAUGAAUAAGCACCGGCUAACUACGUG